GACGAACGCUGGCGGCGUGCUUAACACAUGCAAGUCGAGCGGAAAGGCCCUUCGGGGUCCUCGAGCGGCGAACGGGUGAGUAACACGUGAGUAACCUGCCCCAGACUUUGGGAUAACCCUCGGAAACGGGGGCUAAUACCGGAUACGACACAGCUUCGCAUGGGGUCUGUGUGGAAAGUUUUUCGGUUUGGGAUGGGCUCGCGGCCUAUCAGCUUGUUGGUGGGGUGAUGGCCUACCAAGGCGACGACGGGUAGCCGGCCUGAGAGGGCGACCGGCCACACUGGGACUGAGACACGGCCCAGACUCCUACGGGAGGCAGCAGUGGGGAAUAUUGCACAAUGGGCGGAAGCCUGAUGCAGCGACGCCGCGUGAGGGAUGACGGCCUUCGGGUUGUAAACCUCUUUCAGCAGGGACGAAGCGUAAGUGACGGUACCUGCAGGAGAAGCGCCGGCCAACUACGUG
rnacentral:rRNA from 1 species